CAGAGCUGAGGAUCCGCGGCGCAGGGCAGAGCUGCAGUGCGGGAGGAACCCAGGCACCCAGGGCCUGAGCCGGGUUUGCCCUCCUGCCCUGCACCAGGUUUGCCCUCCUGCCCUGCACCAGGUUUGCCCUCCUGCCCCGCAGCCCCGCUUUGCGCCUUUAAGUGAGAAAUCAGCCGUCGUUUGGCCGCGGCUCGUUUGUG